rnacentral:rRNA from 1 species
AGAUUGAACGCUGGCGGCAUGCUUUACACAUGCAAGUCGAGCGGCAGCGCGGGGCAACCUGGCGGCGAGCGGCGAACGGGUGAGUAAAAGAUAGGAACGUAUCCGGGAGUGGGGGAUAACUAGCCGAAAGGUUAGCUAAUACCGCAUAUUCUCCGAGGAGGAAAGCGGGGGACUCGAAAGGCCUCGCGCUCGCGGAGUGGCCUAUCUCCGAUUAGCUAGUUGGUGAGGUAAACGCUCACCAAGGCGACGAUCGGUAGCGUGGUCUGAGAGGAUGAUCAGCCACACGUGGGACUGACGA